rnacentral:rRNA from 1 species
GACGAACCUUGGCGGCGUGCUUAACACAUGCAAGUCGAACGGAAAGGCCCUGCUUUUGUGGGGUGCUCGAGUGGCGAACGGGUGAGUAACACGUGAGUAACCUGCCCUUGACUUUGGGAUAACUUCAGGAAACUGGGGCUAAUACCGGAUAGGAGCUCCUGCUGCAUGGUGGGGGUUGGAAAGUUUCGGCGGUUGGGGAUGGACUCGCGGCUUAUCAGCUUGUUGGUGGGGUAGUGGCUUACCAAGGCUUUGACGGGUAGCCGGCCUGAGAGGGUGACCGGCCACAUUGGGACUGAGAUACGGCCCAGACUCCUACGGGAGGCAGCAGCGGGGAAUAUUGCACAAUGGGCGGAAGCCUGAUGCAGCAACGCCGCGUGCGGGAUGACGGCCUUCGGGUUGUAAACCGCUUUCGCCUGUGACGAAGCGUGAGUGACGGUAAUGGGUAAAGAAGCACCGGCUAACUACGUGCCAGCAGCCGCGGUGAUACGUAGGGUGCGAGCGUUGUCCGGAUUUAUUGGGCGUAAAGGGCUCGUAGGUGGUUGAUCGCGUCGAAAGUGUAAUCUUGGGGCUUAACCCUGAGCGUGCUUUCGAUACGGGUUGACUUGAGGAAGGUAGGGGAGAAUGGAAUUCCUGGUGGAGCGGUGGAAUGCGCAGAUAUCAGGAGGAACACCAGUGGCGAAGGCGGUUCUCUGGGCCUUUCCUGACGCUGAGGAGCGAAAGCGUGGGGAGCGAACAGGCUUAGAUACCCUGGUAGUCCACGCUGUAAACGGUGGGUACUAGGUGUGGGGUCCAUUCCACGGGUUCCGUGCCGUAGCUAACGCUUUAAGUACCCCGCCUGGGGAGUACGGCCGCAAGGCUAAAACUCAAAGGAAUUGACGGGGCCCCGCACAAGCGGCGGAGCAUGCGGAUUAAUUCGAUGCAACGCGUAGAACCUUACCUGGGUUUGACAUGGAUCGGGAGUGCUCAGAGAUGGGUGUGCCUCUUUUGGGGUCGGUUCACAGGUGGUGCAUGCCUGUCGUCAGCUCGUGUCGUGAGAUGUUGGGUUAAGUCCCGCAACGAGCGCAACCCUUGUUCACUGUUGCCAGCACGUUAUGGUGGGGACUCAGUGGAGACCGCCGGGGUCAACUCGGAGGAAGGUGGGGAUGACGUCAAGUCAUCAUGCCCCUUAUGUCCAGGGCUUCACGCAUGCUACAAUGGCUGGUACAGAGAGUGGCGAGCCUGUGAGGGUGAGCGAAUCUCGGAAAGCCGGCCUCAGUUCGGAUUGGGGUCUGCAACUCGACCUCAUGAAGUCGGAGUCGCUAGUAAUCGCAGAUCAGCAACGCUGCGGUGAAUACGUUCCCGGGGCU